AUUUUCUCCCGGCAUGCAGCAGGACAGCACUGGAUGUUGGGUCAACUUAUCAACAGCUAAUGACCAGGUGCCGGUCACUGACCUGGAAGGACCCAAAGGUGUAUGGGGGGCGUGUCCAUGCACCCCACCACCACAGCUCGACAAAAACGACCCACCAAAAGCAAAUGAAAAUAUAAGAAACAGUGCAAAAAUUAGCUUAAUUUUUUACUAUCUAUAGGUACAUUAAAUAAGGAAGGAAGGCAAACACAGAAGGCGCCCGGAGCCCAGCAGGCUCCAGUCCGUUGGUGGCAACGUGCUCUGGUCGGCUAGCAGCUAGUGGCUAACGGACUCCCGCCGCUAAAGCCAGCGGGCUUCAACGGCCGGUGGCCAAGGCUCCUGGCGGGCCAGCGGGCAACGGAGGAUCGGCUCCAACGGAGGGCCGGUCGGCUCCAGCAGAGGGUCGGCUCCAACGGGCAGCAGGCGCAGUAGCUUCUGGCAGCCGAACACCGCUUCACGGUGGACAGCAGCUCACGACCUCAGGAGGAUCCAGCCCGGAUCCAACAACCAGAGCCAACAGGCAGACCAAAGAUCAGUCCGGAGACACCUGUGGUUAGCAGCAGCAGCCGCCCUCGGCGAAGCCACAACCCACAGCGGAGGACCACCUGAGUGGCAGCAGGAGCACAGAUCACAGCCCGGACGAGUCCAAAGAAAACCAGCUCACAGGAGCGGGACAGGUGACGACAGUUUCGACCAGUCAGACUGGGGACGAUGGCGUCGGCGCUCGCUCUGGACGCAGUGCUGUCGACUACUGCUGGGGCCACGGUGGUGGAUGGCUUCGCCCCUCCCUCGGCA